GUGAGGGAAGUCCAGGUUCGGCCGCCGAACCUUAUGUUCAGCCGCCGAACAUGGCAUGCAUGCGGAGGCACAUUCGGCUCCCGAAUGUGGCCUGGCCAGCCACCUAUAAAGGGGUCCCUUAGCCGAAAUGGGCGAGUUUUCUCCCCAUUUUCGGCCAAGGUGAGCUCUCCGCCGUCCCUCGCCCAUUUUGAGUUUCUUCCUUCAAAUCUUUCUUGAUUUUCAUGAGUUUUCACUUUGUUUUGAAGAUUUUUG
rnacentral:lncRNA from 1 species